rnacentral:misc_RNA from 1 species
GACGUAGGGUGCGAGCGUUGUCCGGAUUUACUGGGCGUAAAGGGCGCGUAGGCGGCCUGUUAAGUGUGAAGUGAAAUCUCAGAGCUCAACUCUGAAACUGUUUCGCAUACUGGCAGACUUGAGGGAUGCAGAGGCUUGUGGAAUUCCUGGUGUAGCGGUGAAAUGCAUUGAUAUCAGGAGGAACACCGAUGGCGAAGGCAGCAAGCUGGGCAUUUCCUGACGCUGAGGCGCGAAAGCGUGGGUAGCAAACAGG